rnacentral:rRNA from 1 species
CCUACGGGGGGCAGCAGUGAGGAAUAUUGGUCAAUGGGCGCGAGCCUGAACCAGCCAAGUCGCGUGAGGGAAGACGGCCCUACGGGUUGUAAACCUCUUUUGCCGGGGAGCAACGGGCGCCACGUGUGGCGCCACUGAGAGUACCCGGAGAAAAAGCAUCGGCUAACUCCGUGCCAGCAGCCGCGGUAAUACGGAGGAUGCGAGCGUUAUCCGGAUUUAUUGGGUUUAAAGGGUGCGUAGGCGGAGCGUUAAGUCAGUGGUCAAAUUGAGGGGCUCAACCCCUUCCCGCCAUUGAAACUGGCAAACUGGAGUGUGUGAGAGGAUAGUGGAAUUCCAGGUGUAGGAGUGAAAUCCGUAGAUAUCUGGAGGAACAUCAGUGGCGAAGGCGACUAUCUGGCACAUAACUGACGCUGAGGAGCGAAAGCGUGGGUAGCAAACAGGAUUAGAUACCCCAGUAGUC